AUUGAACGCUGGCGGCAGGCUUAACACAUGCAAGUCGAGCGAGUGGCGGACGGGUGAGUAAUGUCUGGGAAUCUGCCUGAUGGAGGGGGAUAACUACUGGAAACGGUAGCUAAUACCGCAUACCAUCAGAUGUGCCCAGAUGGGAUUGGCUAGUUGGUGGGGUAAGGGCUCACCUAGGCGACGAUCCCUAGCUGGUCUGAGAGGAUGACCAGCCACACUGGGACUGAGACACGGUCCAGACUCCUACGGGAGGCAGCAGUGGGGAAUAUUGCACAAUGGGCGCAAGCCUGAUGCAGCCAUGCCGCGUGUAUGAAGAAGGCCUUCGGGUUGUAAAGCACUUUCAGCGGGGAGGCGUUACUCACAGAAGAAGCACCGGCUAACUCCGUGCCAGCAGCCGCGGUAAUUC
rnacentral:rRNA from 1 species